ACAGUGGGGAUAACUGAGUGACAGAUAAUCAGGAGAAGAAAAGGAGAUCCAGAAUCAUGACAGAGAGAUGACCUUUGCCAAGAGCACAGCCAUCUUUCACUGUCACAGAGAGGUAGGACAAAACGAUUGGUGUUCAAGAAUUGGUUUGUAGCACAAUAUUUUAACUAUGUCCUUUAAAAAGUUUCUCCACAGACACUACCCAAAGCAGUCCUUCACUACAGUGGCAGACAGACCUGAAAAUUUUCAUCUGAAGCAGCAGAGUGAACUGCAGAGUCAGGUAAUUUCUAGAAGGCUUGCUUUGUUCCAUUGAUACUGAAGAUUAUUCAUGAGGCCAGUCUUCUGAGAUUUCUGUCAUUUCUCUCAUGCCAGGUCACCAACCAGUGUGGAGGCUAAAAGCGGGCCUCUUUGGGGAUUCCAGGUGGAAGUGUUGGACAUCUGUAGUAUUCCUGGUCUCAAAUCAUCCUGAUAUUCUUCAUUUUGUUAUUCACAUUGGACUAGGGCAAGGAAAUGAGUUCUGGUCAGAGUCAAUGUUUCCCAACAAUGUUGAUUUAUUUGGUCCUAAAUAUUUAAACACAUUUUAUAAAUAGCUUUUCCACACCACAUAUAUAGGGAAAAACAGGGAAUUAACUUGGCCCAGCAGCACUGUUUGUGGGGCUAACACCCUGUGUAUCUCACACCAACCCUAAGCUUUGUUUCCCUCCUGUCACUUUGCUCCUAUUUCUUUCAUAUGAAAGAAUGUUCAUUUUCUUUGAAAAUGAGCUCAUUUCCUCAUUUUCUUUCCAUCUUUCAGCAGGAACAAAGAUCACCACAACUGGCUCCCCUUCAACUAUGUUAGAUGGCAACUUGCCUUCAGUAUGGUGAAACACAUCAGUUAAGACUGGGGUUGUGCAUGGCAGGACUUUCUACAAGGACACCCAGUCUCCUUAAUAAACAUGAGAUGCUCUCUUUCCAGAAGUUCUCUUGCCUGACACAGCAUAGGAAGAUGCUGAACGGCCACACAGUGACCCAUUGAGAUAGAAUCUCACUAUGUUGACCAGGCUGGUCUUGAACUCUUGGCACCCAAGCGAUCCUUUUGCCUGGAAUCCCAAAGUGUCAGAUUUACUGAAGAAUAUUUCAUUGUAAUUACUUUUUAUACUUUAUAGGUCAAGAGCUCUGUUUUAAAGACAAAAUUUAUUGAAUAUACUUUUUCAAACAAAGUUUCAUGUUCUAAUCAUUGUCUGAUUUCAGCAUUAAAUGAAACACAGUAAAGAAAGUUGGGC
rnacentral:lncRNA from 1 species